GUAAGCUUGUGCUCUCAAGCUGGGUGGCCGAGAUGAAAAGGCUGCUAAAUGGUGGGGCUGGAACAUAGCUUAUGGUGGAGCUGGAACUUGGAACCCAUGCUGUCCAAGCUGGCCAACAAUGCGAAGGACUUAUUUUCCGUAUGGUUCCUGUAUGGCGGAGGGCAACAUGGGAAUGUGGAUUCAUCUGCAAGGGCCUCUACCCAACAGACCAUGCCGAUGUUUAUAGUCUUGUGGUGCCCAUCAAGAAGCGUAAGACUUUAUGUCCUUGCUGCUGCUGCCGCUGCUGAUGUUGUUUGUUCCUCCCUCCUCCGCGCCACUCACUUCGCUCCCCUGCCGCUUCACGCCCUGUUAUUUCCUCGCUUCCUAUUAAGCAGGUCACGUUUCGUUCGAAGCA